UCCGUAGGUGGAUCAAUCAGUCAGAGGUGAAAUCCUGCAGCUUAACUGUAGAACUGCCUUUGAUACUGUUGAUCUUGAGUCAUUAUGAAGUGGUUAGAAUGUGUAGUGUAGCGGUGAAAUGCAUAGAUAUUACACAGAAUACCGACUGCGAAGGCAGAUCACUAAUAAUGUACUGACACUGAGGGACGAAAGCGUGGGGAGCGAACAGGAUUAGAUACCCUGGUAGUCC
rnacentral:rRNA from 1 species